UGCACUGCAAGCAACAGUGGUGAGAACUGAGCCACAGCUAUUGAGGCAGUGGAGAAUAAACGUUAAUGCUUUUGAUUACCAGCUGUGCACUGCAAAUAACUGCUUUUGCAAGAAAGCUUGUGCUGUAGUUGCAUAAAUAAUUCCAAUAAAACUGUAUAAAAAGCCACUUCAUUAAUCCCAGCUAUCAACUGGAGACCUGCAGCAAAUGCAAAACUGCAAAAGUUUUUACAGAGGUAUCAAGGCAAUCUAAGAACUGUCUGACUUUACUUCUUUCAGUUUCCAGGCAAGACAAAAGUCUACACAUACAUAUAAUGUUUUGUAUAUGCUCCUAUUAAACCUGCCCUUUGCAUUCUAGAAUUCAAGUGGCACACAUGAUUUGGUUUCCCCCCUAGGCUUUACAAAGGCUUCUAAUACAACACAUGAUCGACUUACUAGGAAAUCAUUUGUUUGUUUUAAAUUUGGAAAAGGAAGAGAAAACACCUGGGAAACUGUGGGAGAAUAUCAACACAGUUGAAAAGAAAAUUACAUCCCAGCCUCCUGAAAAACUUUAAUAUAAAGAUCUUUGGGAAGUCUGUGAAUAAGGGAUGAACAAAGAAAUACUCCAUUUGAGGAAUGUCCUUCCUUUGAACACUGAAUCACAGAAUACAAGUCUCCGCAUCACCUUGCAAAAGAAAAAGGGAAAAAAAAUCCUGCCUGAAAUGUGUCACUUAUUUGCUGCUGUUUACUUUGUUUAUUUGUAGUGGUUUUGCAAAAUCCCACAAAUAUUUCAGACUGAAACCACAGUUCAUAUUUUAUAUUUAGAUGAACUAUGGCAUCUUUCAAGAAGCUGUAAGUGCAAGCCUGCAUGUAAAGCCCUCCCUCUGCCUGCCCUGGGACCAUGCAGCCAUUGCAGCAGGAAGAACAUGGGCCACCACUGCAGCCCUGGUGGUGACCCUCCUCCAUGCACUGGCCCAGCCACCCCUCAGCUCAGCUUCAGCAGGAUGCAAGAGUGAGUCCUUGCCCCUCCCACGGCACAGAAGGGAGGAAACUGCGAUCUCUGACUGUGCACCACUGAAGUCAGCGGGAUCUUUGUGGAUGCUGGGUGGGAAUAGGCCCCCACAAAUAUGCAACAAGCAAUAGCAAAGCUUAUACCCUGCUCUGGAUUGAUCCGAGUCACGAGGAGCUCAAGCUGUCAGUCAGCAAGAGUGCAAGGAGGGCUGAUUGUUCUGGUCAUCUCACUGGAACAGAGGAAAAAUUCAAGAUGCACAUCCUCCUUGCAGUACCCCCACACACUCUCACCCAGAUGAAAGCUUAAGGACGAGAAUCAUGUUUUCACAGAGGCCUAUUUUUUCCACAAAGUGUUGUCAACCUUCUCCAGCCCUUAUUUUAAUAAAGGAAAACCUACCAUCCUUUUGACCUUGGACUUGUUCAUUUUCUCUGUUUCUCUCAGUACAUGCUCUUUGCUAGCCAUUCAGCAUGCUGCGAGCCCUGAUAAAAGUGGUUAAUGUUUACUGAAACCUGCGUAUGAACUGUACUAAACCUGAUGCAGGGGGAGGCAAAGUUCUGCUAGCAGCAUCCAUGACCAAUUAAAAAGAACUGUUAGCUUGCUUUUCUUUUUAAGCUCAUCCCCACCCCUGCUAAACAGCUGCAUGAGUAGAUGGGCAGGCAGCUCAGGGAGAAGACUGAAAAAAUUCUUCAAAUCCAUCCACCUAGAUACUUCAAAAUUUUCUGAGUACCACAGGCCUUUCAAGAAUACACAAAAGGAAUGAAAGAACUACUGGGGUCCUGUUUUUGGGAGAUGCAUACUUUAUCCCUAAAUAACUGUUUUCCAAAACAGUCUGAAAACAUACAAGUCUAGCAGAAUUGCUGAGUGUUUCCUUUUAGUUUUCCCUGUAGAUGUCCAUAUACCCGUGGCUUGAGCAGUAUUCAAAACAUCCUCAAUGAAGUGAAAAAGCAGAAUAUUACUACUGUAAACUCAAACAACUAACAGUUGAUAAGUAUUAUUCAGAGACUUUAACAUAAUUUCUUCCCAGCAGAGACAGAAACAAUCAGCAGCUUCAACAGCUGUAUCUGUGCACUGUUUAGGAACAAUGUUUUGUAGCACAGACUAAAUGUUUGCAUUUACCCUUCUUAGCUUAUUAGCAUUUCCUCCACCUAUAUUGUAAUAUCCAGAGCCCAGAGAGCUCUUACAGAUAGCUCCUGCCUCCCUCCCUCUGUCUGGUGACAGUGGGAUGCUCUCAGGUGUUUAAUGACAAGUCUUUUUUUUUUUUUUUUUUUUUUUUUUUUUUUUUUUUUUUUUUUUUGUACUAGAGGGCAGCAACAGUGCUGCAGUCACCUUGGAAACAACCAUCACCCACUGUUUGCAGAACAAACAAUGGUACCUUUUCAGCCAGCGCAAGGCAGGCAGGGCAAGGGGCAGCCAAGCAAUUCUGGGACUUACAGGAGUGUUAACAUAUUGCAUUCAUUCAGUGCGUCAAAAAAUAGUUCAGCACGAGGAGCAAGGCGCUCUCAAAGUGAGAGCCUUUGGCUGCAAACCACAGACAAGUGCACAGGGCUCAGAAGGUCUCCCCAGUCAGCAACGAGGUCUUUUCCUCUGGUUUUUUUACUUGCCCUCCUGUUCCCCUCUCUCAUACACACAGAAGGAAGAAAAACACACCUAUUUAAACUGAUCUUAUCCACGAAAAGUCAAGUGUUCAGCUUCCAAGUAGCACUCUCUGAAGUUUUCUCAGUGUGCCAAAAUAUUUUAAAGAACUGUUUACCCGCACUUGUAGUGCUUUGUACCCAAUGCAUCAAGAGCUGUUUCCAGAAGCGUUCCCUGUGAAGUUAGUGA